rnacentral:antisense_RNA from 1 species
CUUCAGCGACCCCAGCCACAACGGCGUGCCGGGAUCCCGGUCCUUGCCGUACGUGGCCAGCAGCGCCUGCGCCUC